rnacentral:rRNA from 1 species
AACGAACGCUGGCGGCAGGCCUAACACAUGCAAGUCGAGCGCGCCCUUCGGGGUGAGCGGCGGACGGGUGAGUAACGCGUGGGAACGUGCCCUUUUCUACGGAAUAGCCUCGGGAAACUGAGAGUAAUACCGUAUACGCCCUUUGGGGGAAAGAUUUAUCGGAAAAGGAUCGGCCCGCGUUGGAUUAGGUAGUUGGUGGGGUAAUGGCCUACCAAGCCGACGAUCCAUAGCUGGGUUGAGAGGAUGAUCAGCCACCCUGGGACUGAGACACGGCCCAGACUCCUACGGGAGGCAGCAGUGGGGAAUCUUAGACAAUGGGGGCAACCCUGAUCUAGCCAUGCCGCGUGAGUGAUGAAUGCCUUAGGGUUGUAAAGCUCUUUCAGCUGGGAAGAUAAUGACGGUACCAGCAGAAGAAGCCCCGGCUAACUCCGUG